rnacentral:sRNA from 1 species
UUUUUUUUUACUUUUUU